GCCCCCGUAGUAUAGUGGAUAGUACGCAGGGUUGCGGACCCUGAAACCCGGGUUCGAUUCCCGGCGGGGGCA
rnacentral:tRNA from 2 species